rnacentral:rRNA from 1 species
GAUGAACGCUGGCGGCGUGCCUAAUACAUGCAAGUCGAGCGAACAGAUAAGGAGCUUGCUCCUUUGACGUUAGCGGCGGACGGGUGAGUAACACGUGGGUAACCUACCUAUAAGACUGGAAUAACUCCGGGAGACCGGGGCUAAUGCCGGAUAUCAUGUAGAACCGCAUGGUUCUAAAGUGAAAGAUGGUUUUGCUAUAACUUAUAGAUGUACCCGCGCCGCAUUAGCUAGUUGGUAGGGUAACGGCUUACCAAGGCAACGAUACGUAGCCGACCUGAUAGGGUGAUCAGGCAGGCUGGAACUGAGACGCCGUCCACAGACCUACGGGAGGCGGCAGUAGCUGUUAUUGAGAAAUGAAUGGAUGCAUGGCCAAAAAGCGACAAGGGGCUGAUGAAAGUCUUCAGAUCGUACACCUCUGUUAUCAGGGCAGAACGAGAGGAUAAGUAGCUGUGAGCGUAUUGACGGUCCCUUAUCAGGUAGCCCCGGCUGACUGCGGG